rnacentral:rRNA from 1 species
UAGGGAAUCUUCCGCAAUGGGCGAAAGCCUGACGGAGCAACGCCGCGUGAGUGAAGAAGGAUUUCGGUUCGUAAAGCUCUGUUGUUAGGGAAGAAUGAUUGUGUAGUAACUAUACACAGUAGAGACGGUACCUAACCAGAAAGCCACGGCUAACUACGUGCCAGCAGCCGCGGUAAUACGUAGGUGGCAAGCGUUGUCCGGAAUUAUUGGGCGUAAAGCGCGCGCAGGUGGUUUAAUAAGUCUGAUGUGAAAGCCCACGGCUCAACCGUGGAGGGUCAUUGGAAACUGUUAAACUUGAGUGCAGGAGAGAAAAGUGGAAUUCCUAGUGUAGCGGUGAAAUGCGUAGAGAUUAGGAGGAACACCAGUGGCGAAGGCGGCUUUUGGCCUGUAACUGACACUGAGGCGCGAAAGCGUGGGGAGCAAACAGGAUUAGAUACCCUGGUAGUCCACGCCGUAAACGAUGAGUGCUAAGUGUUGGUCUCAUAAGAGAUCAGUGCUGCAGCUAACGCAUUAAGCACUCCGCCUGGGGAGUACGACCGCAAGGUUG